GAGCGAAUUCACUCAGAACUAACAAGAAUGAUAACAUGCUCCGACUGGAGCGGUUUAGGAACUGCUGGAAGGCUCUAGGGGAAUAAAGAUGGAAUGACUUCUAAUUUUUAGGUCCGUAUGAUUUGAAAUACUUGCACACAAACCACGCGAAAGCGUUCCUGGAAAUCUCAGCCCAAAAAAGGACGUUUAGUAAUUCUAAAAGGGACUACAGGAUGAAAAACAAUAGUUUUGGCAGUUAAAGUUUGAGAUUCGACAGUGCCGUAGAUCCGUUUGGUCAUCAGGUAUUACGAGCCACACCCAUGUCUAGCUAGAAUAGUGUGCUAGGCUCAGGCUAGAGAAGAAACGGGGAACAAACUGAUGAAAGAAUGAUCAAACCGAGGGAAUUCACUCAGAACUAACAAUAAUGAUAACGUGCUCCGACUGGUGCGGUUUAGGAACUGCUGGAAGGCUCUAGGGGAAUAAAGAUGGAAUGACUUCUAAUUUUUAGGUCCGUAUGAUUUGAAAUACUUGCACACAAACCGCGCGAAAGCGUUCCUGGAAAUCUCAGCCCAAAAAAGGACGUUUAGUAAUUUUAAAAGGGACUAUAGGAUGAAAAACAAUAGUUUUGGCAAUUAAAGUUUGAGAUUCGACGGUGUCGUAGAUCCGUUUGGUCAUCAGGUGUUACGAGCCACACCCAUGUCUAGCUAGAAUAGUAUGUCAGGCUCAGGUUAGAGUAGAAACGGGGAACAAACUGAUGAAAGAAUGAUCAUACCAAGGGAAUUCACUCAGAACUAUCAAGAAUGAUAACGUGCUCCGACUGGAGUGAUUUAGGAACUGCUGGAAGGCUCUAGGGGAAUAAAGAUGGAAUGACUUCUAAUUUUUACGUCCGUAUGAUUUGAAAUACUUGCACACAAAUCACGCAAAAGCGUUCCUGGAAAUCUCAGCCUAAAAAAGGACGUUUAGUAAUUCUAAAAGGGACUACAGGAUGAAAAACAAUAGUUUGGGCAGUUAAAAUUUGAGAUUCGACGGUGCCGUAGAUCCGUUUGGUCAUCAGGUGUUACGAGCGACACCCUUGUCUAGCUAGAAUAGUGUGUUAGGCUCAGACUAGAGAAGAAACGGGGAACAAAGUGAUGAAAGAAUGAUCAUACCGAGGGAAUUCACUCAGAACUAACAAGAAUGAUAACGUGCUCCGACUGGAGCGGUUUAGUAACUGCUGGAAGGCUCUAGGGGAAUGAAGAUGGAAUGACUUCUAAUUUUUAGGUCCGUAUGAUUUGAAAUACAUGCACACAAACCCUGAGAAAGCGUUCCUGGAAAUCUCGGUCGAAAAAAGGAUGUUUAAUAAUUCUAAAAGGGACUACCGGAUGAAAAACAAUAGUUUUGGCAGUUAAAGUUUGUGAUUCGAUGGUGCCGUAGAUCUGUUUGGUCAUCAGGUGUUACGAGCCACACCCAUGUCUAUCUAGAAUAGUGUGUUAGGCUCAGGCUAGAGCAGAAACGGGGAACAGACUUAUGAAAGAAUGAUCAUACCGAGGGAAUUCACUCAGAACUAACAAGAAUGAUAACGUGCUCCGACUGGCGCGGUUUAGGAACUGCUGGAAGGCUCUAGGGGAAUAAAGAUGGAAAGACUUCUAAUUUUUAGGUCCGUAUGAUUUGAAAUACUUGCACACAAACCGCACGAAAGCGUUCCUGGAAAUCUCAGCCUAAAAAGGAUGUUUAGUAAUUCUAAAAGGGACUACAAGAUGAAAAAUAAUAGUUUGGGCAGUUAAAAUUUGAGAUUCGACGAUGCCGUAGAUCCGUUUGGUCAUCAGGUGUUAUGAGCCACACCCAUGUCUAGCUAGAAUAGUGUGUUAGGCUCAGGCUAGAGAAGAAACGGGGAACAAACUGAUGAAAGAAUGAUCAUACCGAGGGAAUUCACUCAGAACUAACAAGAAUGAUAACGUGCUCCGACUGGAGCAGUUUAGAAACUGCUGGAAGGCUCUAAUGGAAUAAAGAUGGAAUGCCUUCAAAUUUCUAGGUCCGUAUGAUUUGAAAUACUUGCACACAAACCGCUCGAAAGCGUUCCUGGAAAUCUCAGCCCAAAAAAGGACGUUUAGUAAUUCUAAAAGGGACUACAGGAUGAAAAACAAUAGUUUUGGCAGUUAAAGUUUGAGAUUCGAUGGUGCCGUAGAUCCGUUUGGUCAUCAGGUGUAACGAGCCACACACAUGUCUAGCUAGAGUAGUGUGCUAGGCUCAGACUAGAGAAGAAACGGGGAACAAAGUGAUGAAAGAAUGAUCAUACCGAGGGAAUUCACUCAGAACUUACAAGAAUGAUAACGUGCUCCGACUGGAGCGCUUUAGUAACUGCUGGAAGGCUCUAGGCGAAUAAAGAUGGAAUGACUUCUAAUUUUUAGGUCCGUAUGAUUUGAAAUACUUGCACACAAACCACGCAAAACCGUUCCUAGAAAUCUCGGUCGAAAAAAGGACGUUUAGUAAUUCUAAAAGGGACUACAGGAUGAAAAACAAUAGUUUUGGCAGUUAAAGUUUGAGAUUCGAUGGUGCCGUAGAUCCGUUUGGUCAUCAGGUGUUACGAGCCACACCCAUGUCUAGCUAGAGUAGUGUGCUAGGUUCAGACUAGAGAAGAAACGGGGAACAAAGUGAUUAAAGAAUGAUCAUACCGAGGGAAUUCACUCAGAACUAACAAGAAUGAUAACGUGCUCCGACUGGAGCGGUUUAGGAACUGCUGGAAGGCUCUAGGGGAAUAAAGAUGGAAUGACUUCUAAUUUUUACGUCCGUAUGAUUUGAAAUACAUGCACACAAACCACGCAAAAGCGUUCCUGGAAAUCUCAGCCUAAAAAAGGACGUUUAGUAAUUCUAAAAGGGACUACAGGAUGAAAAAUAAUAGUUUGGGCAGUUAAAAUUUGAGAUUCGACGCUGCCGUAGAUCCGUUUGGUCAUCAGGUCUUACGAGCCACACCCAUGUCUAGCUAGAAUAGUGUGUUAGGCUCAGGCUAGAGAAGAAACGGGGAACAAACUGAUGAAAGAAUGAUCAUACCGAGGGAAUUCACUCAGAACUAACAAGAAUGAUAACGUGCUCCGACUGGAGCAGUUUAGAAACUCCUGGAAGGCUCUAGGGGAAUAAAGAUGGAAUGACUUCAAAGUUUUAGGUCCGUAUGAUUUGAAAUACUUGCACACAAACCGCGUGAAAGCGUUCCUGGAAAUCUCAACCCAAAAAAGGGCGUUUAGUAAUUCUAAAAGGGACUACAGGAUGUAAAACAAUAGUUUUGGCAGUUAAAGUUUGAGAUUCGAUGGUGCCGUAGAUCCGUUUGGUCAUCAGGUGUAACGAGCCACACCCAUGUCUAGCUAGAGUAGUGUGCUAGGCUCAGACUAGAGAAGAAACGGGGAACAAAGUGAUGAAAGAAUGAUCAUACCGAGGGAAUUCACUCAUAACUAACAAGAAUGAUAACGUGCUCUGACUUGAGCGGUUUAGGAACUGCUGGAAGGCUAUAGGGGAAUAAAGAUGGAAUGACUUCAAAUUUUUAGGUCCGUAUGAUCUGAAAUACUUGCACACAAACCGCGAGAAAGCGUUCCUGGAAAUCUCAACCCAAAAAAGGACGUUUAGUAAUUCUAAAAGGGACUACAGGAUGAAAAACAAUAGUUCUGGCAGUUAUUGUUUGAGAUUCGAUAAUCUCGUAGAUCCGUUUGGUCAUCAGGUGUAACGAGCCACACCCAUGUCUAGCUAGAGUAGUGUGCUAGGCUCAGACUAGAGAAGAAACGGGGAACAAACUGAUGAAAGAAUGAUCAUACCGAGGGAAUUCACUUAGAACUAACAAGAAUGAUAACGUGCUCCGACUGGAGCGGUUUAGGAACUGCUGGAAGGCUCUAGGGGAAUAAAGAAGGAACGACUUCUAAUUUUUAGGUCCGUAUGAUUUGAAAUAUGUGCACACAAACCACGAGAAAGCGUUCCUAGAAAUCUCGGCCCAAAAGAGGACGUUUAGUAUUCUAAAAGGGACUACAGAAUGAAAAACAAUAGUUUUGGCAGUUAAAGUUUGAGAUUUGACGGUGCCGUAGAUCUGUUUGGUCAUCAGGGGUUACGAGCCACACCCAUGUCUAGCUAGAAUAGUGUGUUAGGCUCAGGCUAGAAAAGAAACGGGGAACAAAGUGAUGAAAGAAUGAUCAUACCGAGGGAAUUCACUCAGAACUAACAAGAAUGAUAACAUGCUCCGACUGGAGCGGUUUAGGAACUGCUGGAAGGCUCUAGGGGAAUAAAGAUGGAAUGACUUCUAAUUUUUAGGUCCGUAUGAUUUGAAAUACUUGCACACAAACCGCGCGAAAGCGUUCCUGGAAAUCUCAGCCCAAAAAAGGACGUUUAGUAAUUCUAAAAGGGACUACAGGAUGAAAAACAAUAGUUUUGGCAGUUAAAGUAUGAGAUUCAACGGUGCCGUAGAUCCGUUUGGUCAUUAGGUGUUACGAGCCACACCCAUGUCUAGCUAGAAUAGUGUGCUAGGCUCAGGCUAGAGAAGAAACGGGGAACAAACUGAUGAAAGAAUGAUCAAACCGAGGG
rnacentral:lncRNA from 1 species